CCCAACUAUCCCUAUUAAUCAUUACGUCAAUCCUAGAAACCAACAAAAUAGGAUCAAACGUCCUAUUUCAUUAUUCCAUGCUAAUGUAUUCAAGCGUUAGCUUGCUUUAAACACUCUAAUUUUUUCAAAGUAACAGUCCUGUUUCCCUGCAACACCAAAUUAAUGGCAUUACAGUUCUUCAGAAAGGAGGAACCAGCGAGACCAGUACGUACCAAAGGCACGACCAACCUGCUGAUCCCGAAAUUCAACUACGAGCUUUUUAACUGCAACAACUUUAAUAUACGCUAUUGGAGCUGGAAUUACCGCGGCUGCUGGCACCAGACUUGCCCUCCAA
rnacentral:misc_RNA from 1 species